UACAGAGGUCUCAAGCGUUGUUCGGAUUCAUUGGGCGUAAAGGGUGCGUAGGUGGUGCUGUAAGUCAGGUGUGAAAUCUCGGGGCUCAACCCCGAAACUGCACUUGAUACUGCGGUGCUCGAGGACUGGAGAGGAGAUCGGAAUUCAUGGUGUAGCAGUGAAAUGCGUAGAUAUCAUGAGGAAGACCAGUGGCGAAGGCGGAUCUCUGGACAGUUCCUGACACUGAGGCACGAAGGCCAGGGGAGCAAACGGG
rnacentral:rRNA from 1 species